rnacentral:rRNA from 1 species
AUACGGAGGGUGCGAGCGUUAAUCGGAAUUACUGGGCGUAAAGCGUACGUAGGUGGCUUGAUUAGUCGGAUGUGAAAGCCCUGGGCUCAACCUGGGAACUGCAUUCGAUACUGUCAGGCUAGAGUAUAGUAGAGGGAAGUGGAAUUCCGGGUGUAGCGGUGAAAUGCGUAGAUAUACGGAGGAACACCAGUGGCGAAGGCGGCUUCCUGGACUAAUACUGACACUGAGGUACGAAAGCGUGGGGAGCAAACAGAAUUAGAAACCCCAGUAGUCC